CCUACGGGGGGCAGCAGUGGGGAAUAUUGGACAAUGGGCGAAAGCCUGAUCCAGCCAUGCCGCGUGUGUGAAGAAGGCCUUCGGGUUGUAAAGCACUUUCAGUGGGGAAGAAAGCCUUGGGGCUAAUACCCUCGAGGAAGGACAUCACCCACAGAAGAAGCACCGGCUAACUCCGUGCCAGCAGCCGCGGUAAUACGGAGGGUGCGAGCGUUAAUAGGAAUUACUGGGCGUAAAGCGCGCGUAGGCGGUCUGAUAAGCCGGUUGUGAAAGCCCCGGGCUCAACCUGGGAACGGCAUCCGGAACUGUCAGGCUAGAGUGCAGGAGAGGAAGGUAGAAUUCCCGGUGUAGCGGUGAAAUGCGUAGAGAUCGGGAGGAAUACCAGUGGCGAAGGCGGCCUUCUGGACUGACACUGACGCUGAGGUGCGAAAGCGUGGGUAGCAAACAGGAUUAGAUACCCCAGUAGUC
rnacentral:rRNA from 1 species